UGGAUCCAGACUUUGAUUCUGGCUCAGGAUGAACGCUAGCUACAGGCUUAACGCAUGCAAGUCGAGGGGAAACGAUAUUGGAAGCUUGCUUCCGAUAGGCGUCGACCGGCGCACGGGUGAGUAACGCGUAUCCAACCUGCCCAUCACUUGGGGAUAACCUUGCGAAAGUAAGACUAAUACCCAAUGAUAUCUCAAGAAGACAUCUGAAUGAGAUUAAAGAUUUAUCGGUGAUGGAUGGGGAUGCGUCUGAUUAGCUUGUUGGCGGGGUAACGGCCCACCAAGGCGGCGAUCAGUAGGGGUUCUGAGAGGAAGGUCCCCCACAUUGGAACUGAGACACGGUCCAAACUCCUACGGGAGGCAGCAGUGAGGAAUAUUGGUCAAUGGGCGAGAGCCUGAACCAGCCAAGUAGCGUGCAGGAUGACGGCCCUAUGGGUUGUAAACUGCUUUUAUAAGGGAAUAAAGUGAGCCUCGUGAGGCUUUUUGCAUGUACCUUAUGAAUAAGGACCGGCUAAUUCCGUGCCAGCAGCCGCGGUAAUACGGAAGGUCCGGGCGUUAUCCGGAUUUAUUGGGUUUAAAGGGAGCGUAGGCCGGAGAUUAAGCGUGUUGUGAAAUGUAGAUGCUCAACAUCUGCACUGCAGCGCGAACUGGUUUCCUUGAGUACGCACAAAGUGGGCGGAAUUCGUGGUGUAGCGGUGAAAUGCUUAGAUAUCACGAAGAACUCCGAUUGCGAAGGCAGCUCACUGGAGCGCAACUGACGCUGAAGCUCGAAAGUGCGGGUAUCGAACAGGAUUAGAUACCCUGGUAGUCCGCACGGUAAACGAUGGAUGCCCGCUGUUGGUCUGAAUAGGUCAGCGGCCAAGCGAAAGCAUUAAGCAUCCCACCUUU
rnacentral:rRNA from 1 species